CCUUGCCUUAGUNGCCAGCAUUCAGUAGGGAACUCUAAGGGGACCGCCGGUGACAAACCGGAGGAAGGUGGGGAUGACGUCAAGUCAUCAUGGCCCUUAUGACCAGGGCUACACACGUGCUACAAUGGCCAGUACAAAGGGUUGCCAACCCGCGAGGGGGAGCCAAUCCCAUAAAGCUGGUCGUAGUCCGGAUCGCAGUCUGCAACUCGGCUGCGUGAAGUCGGAAUCGCUAGUAAUCGUGAAUCAGCGAUGUCACGGUGAAUACGUUCCCGGGUCUUGUACACACCGCCCGUCACACCAUGGGAGUUGAUUGCACCAGAAGUAGGU
rnacentral:rRNA from 1 species